rnacentral:rRNA from 1 species
GACAGAGGUGGCGAGCGUUGUCCGGAUUCACUGGGCGUAAAGGGCGUGUAGGCGGUCUUGCAAGUCGGUCGUGAAAGGCGCCAGCUCAACUGGAGCAGAGCGACCGAGACGGCAGGGCUUCGAGCAUGGAAGAGGAAAGUGGAAUUCCCGGUGUAGCAGUGAAAUGCGUAGAUAUCGGGAAGAACACCAAUGGCGAAGGCGACUUUCUGGUCCAUUGCUGACGCUGAGGCGCGAAAGCCAGGGGAGCGAACGGG